rnacentral:rRNA from 1 species
AGUGAACGCUGGCGGCAGGCCUAACACAUGCAAGUCGAACGGCAGCACAGUAAGAGCUUGCUCCUACGGGUGGCGAGUGGCGGAUGGGUGAGGAAUACAUCGGAAUCUACUUUUUCGUGGGGGACAACGUAGGGAAACUUACGCUAAUACCGCAUACGACCUGCGGGUGAAAGCAGGGGAUCUUCGGACCUUGCGCGAUUGAAUGAGCCGAUGUCGGAUUAGCUAGUUGGCGGGGUAAAGGCCCACCAAGGCGACGAUCCGUAGCUGGUCUGAGAGGAUGAUCGGCCACACUGGAACUGAGACACGGUCCAGACUCCUACGGGAGGCAGCAGUGGGGAAUAUUGGACAAUGGGCGCAAGCCUGAUCCAGCCAUACCGCGUGAGUGAAGAAGGCCUUCGGGUUGUAAAGCCCUUUUGUUGGGAAAGAAAAGCAGCAGGUUAAUACCCCGCUGUUCUGACGGUACCCAAAGAAUAAGCACCGGCUAACUUCGUG